rnacentral:rRNA from 1 species
GAGUUUGAUCUUGGCUCAGAUUGAACGCUGGCGGCAUGCCUUACACAUGCAAGUCGAACGGCAGCACGGGAGCUUGCUCCUGGUGGCGAGUGGCGAACGGGUGAGUAAUGCAUCGGAACGUAUCCUGGAGUGGGGGAUAACGUAGCGAAAGUUACGCUAAUACCGCAUAUUCUGUGAGCAGGAAAGCGGGGGACCUUCGGGCCUCGCGCUCUUGGAGCGGCCGAUGUCGGAUUAGCUAGUUGGUAAGGUAAAGGCUCACCAAGGCGACGAUCCGUAGCAGGUCUGAGAGGAUGAUCUGCCACACUGGAACUGAGACACGGUCCAGACUCCUACGGGAGGCAGCAGUGGGAAUUUUGGACAAUGGGGGCAACCCUGAUCCAGCCAUGCCGCGUGAGUGAAGAAGGACCUCGG